GAUGAACGCUAGCUACAGGCUUAACACAUGCAAGUCGAGGGACCGGCGUACGGGUGAGUAACGCGUCUCCAACAUUCCCAUUACUGUGGGAUAACAUGCCGAAAGGCAGACUAAUACCGCGUAGUAAUGGAUGGGGAUGCGACUGAUUAGGUUGUUGCCGGGGUAACGGCCAACCAAGGCGACGGGCAGUAGGGGAUCUGAGAGGAAGGUCACCGAGAUUGGAACAGAGACCCGGUCCCAACGCGUACGCGAGGCAGCAGUUAGGAAGAAUGGGGAAUGGACGUAAGUCAGAAUCGGCCAAGUAGCGUGGAGGGUGACGGCCUAUGGGUUUUUAACUGUUUUUGUGUGGGGGUAGGUACCAUAUGAGUAAGGACCGGCUAAUUCCGUGCCAGCAGCCGCGGUAAUAC
rnacentral:rRNA from 1 species